rnacentral:rRNA from 1 species
GACGUAGGGCGCGAGCGUUGUCCGGAUUUAUUGGGCGUAAAGAGCUCGUAGGCGGCUUGUCGCGUCGUCCGUGAAAACUUGGGGCUCAACCCCAAGCUUGCGGUCGAUACGGGCAGGCUAGAGUUCGGUAGGGGAGACUGGAAUUCCUGGUGUAGCGGUGAAAUGCGUAGAGAUCCGGAGGAACACCAGUGGCGAAGGCGGCUUUCUGGGUCCGCCCUGACGCUGAGGCGCGAAAGCGUGGGGAGCGAACGGG